AUUGUUGACUUUUCGUACGCGUUCGUUUCUUGGAGUAGGGUUGUUUUGGAUCGCAGCCCAAAGUAGGUGGUAUACUUCAUCUAAAGCUAAAUACGACUACGAAUCCGAUAGCAAACAAGUACCGUGAGGGAAAGUUGCAAAGUACUUUGAAGAGAGAGUUCAAGAGGACGUGAAACCGGUAGGGUGGAAGCAGAUAAAGUUGACGAACGUGUGUCGUAUUCAGAACUACAAUUUGUGGUUUGUUUUUACGAUCGAUGUGGGCUGGCGUCUUUGGUUAACUUAGUGUCUGGCGGCAAUGGUGACCCUGCGGAGGGAUAAUCGGUUGUCGUGCGAUGCUUGGUAUGGCUAGAGGUUCGCUGGUCUUAUAGUCAUCGCUUUAUCUGACCCGUCUUGAAACACGGACCAAGGAGUGUAGCGCUUACGCGAGUCUUAGAGUGUGUCAAAACUUUGAGGCGUAACGAAAGUAAAUGUGGAUUUAUUCACUGACUUGGGAUGCGUUGUC
rnacentral:rRNA from 10 species